rnacentral:rRNA from 1 species
AGUGAACGCUGGCGGUAGGCCUAACACAUGCAAGUCGAACGGUAGCACAGUAAGAGCUUGCUCUUACGGGUGGCGAGUGGCGGACGGGUGAGGAACACAUCGGAAUCUACUUUUUCGUGGGGGAUAACGUAGGGAAACUUACGCUAAUACCGCAUACGACCUACGGGUGAAAGCAGGGGAUCUUCGGACCUUGCGCGAUUGAAUGAGCCGAUGUCGGAUUAGCUAGUUGGCGGGGUAAAGGCCCACCAAGGCGACGAUCCGUAGCUGGUCUGAGAGGAUGAUCAGCCACACUGGAACUGAGACACGGUCCAGACUCCUACGGGAGGCAGCAGUGGGGAAUAUUGGACAAUGGGCGCAAGCCUGAUCCAGCCAUACCGCGUGGGUGAAGAAGGCCUUCGGGUUGUAAAGCCCUUUUGUUGGGAAAGAAAAGCAGCAGGUUAAUACCCCGCUGUUCUGACGGUACCCAAAGAAUAAGCACCGGCUAACUUCGUG